rnacentral:rRNA from 1 species
UACGUAGGGUGCGAGCGUUAAUCGGAAUUACUGGGCGUAAAGCGUGCGCAGGCGGUUCGUUGUGUCGGCGGUGAAAGCCCCGGGCUUAACCUGGGAAUGGCCGUCGAAACUGGCGAACUGGAGUGUGGCAGAGGGGGGUGGAAUUCCGCGUGUAGCAGUGAAAUGCGUAGAGAUGCGGAGGAACACCGGAUGGCGAAGGCAGCCCCCUGGGCUGACACUGACGCUCAGGCACGAAAGCGUGGGGAGCAAACAGG